rnacentral:rRNA from 1 species
UACGUAGGGUGCGAGCGUUGUCCGGAAUUAUUGGGCGUAAAGAGCUCGUAGGCGGUCUGUCGCGUCGAUCGUGAAAACUUGGGGGCUUAACCCUGAGCUUGCGGUCGAUACGGGCGGGCUAGAGUUCGGUAGGGGAGACUGGAAUUCCUGGUGUAGCGGUGAAAUGCGCAGAUAUCAGGAGGAACACCGGUGGCGAAGGCGGGUCUCUGGGCCGAUACUGACGCUGAGGAGCGAAAGCGUGGGGAGCGAACAGG